rnacentral:rRNA from 1 species
UGUGCCCUACGGGAGGCAGCAGUGGGGAAUAUUGCACAAUGGGGGAAACCCUGAUGCAGCGAUGCCGCGUGAGUGAAGAAGUAAUUCGUUAUGUAAAGCUCUAUCAGCAGGGAAGAAAAUGACGGUACCUGAGUAAGAAGCCUCGGCUAACUACGUGCCAGCAGCCGCGGUAAUACGUAGGGGGCAAGCGUUAUCCGGAUUUACUGGGUGUAAAGGGAGCGUAGACGGCAGGGCAAGUCUGGAGUGAAAGGCGGGGGCUCAACCCCCGGACUGCUCUGGA